GACGAACGCUGGCGGCGUGCUUAACACAUGCAAGUCGAACGGACAGGCCCUGCUUUUGUUGGGUACUCGAGUGGCUAACGGUUGAGUAACACUUGAUUACCCUUCCCUUGCCUUUGGGAUAACUUCAGGUAACUGGGGCUAAUACCGGAUAGUAGCUCCUGCUGCAUGUUUUUGCUUGGAAAGUUUCGGCGGUUUGGGAUGGACUCGCGGCUUAUCAGCUUGUUGGUGGGGUAGUGGCUUACCAAGGCUUUGACGGGUCGCCGGCCUGAGAGGGUGACCGGCCACAGAGGGACUGAGAUACGGCCCAGAGGGAUACGGGAGGCAGCAGUGGGGAAUAGUGCAAAAAGGGCGGAAUGCGGAAGCAGCAACGCCGGGUGCGGGAGGACGGCCGUAGGGGUGGAAACCGUGUGCGCCUGUGAAGAAGAGUGAGUGACGGUAAUGUGUAAAGAAGCAACGGCUAACUACGUG
rnacentral:rRNA from 1 species